GCGGGUAUGGUGAAAUUGGUAGACACGCCAGACUUAGGAUCUGGUGCCGAAAGGUGUGAAGGUUCGAGUCCUUUUACCCGCACAA
rnacentral:tRNA from 1 species